CACUGAAAUUCCAUAGCUGGGGUUUUCGUCAUAGCUUUCUUGGGUCACAUCGCCGGUAGCUGUGUCACCUGCUGUCUGCUGAACAUCUAAAUCGUAUCUUUUUCUGACCAGCAUUAAGCCCCUUUACGAUUUGUUCUUUGAUUUCUUGACCUUUGUUGCCUAUCGGCUCAUACUGCAAAAAGUUAGUCAAAAACAAUUCUGCAUCUCUUAGGAGCAGGAUCAC